AUGGCUGACUGGCUGACUGGAUGGCUGACUGGCUGACUGGAUGGCUGACUGGCUGACUGACCGGCUGACCAGUUUAAAUUCCAGUCAAUUCAGGAAGUAAAACAAACUCCCAAUUCCAAAUGUUCCUCAUUGAAAAGCAUUGAAGAGAAUUGGAAUUUCAGUACUUCCUGCAUUGACUAGAACUGAAAUGGAAUUGACCCCAACCCUGGCUUACUGUAUACAGAAAGUGGACCAAGCCUCUCAACUCUAACUGCUGCUUCCUAAGCCGUGACCUCUCAACUCUAACAGCUGCUUCCUAAGCCGUGACCUCUCAACUCUAACAGCUGCUUCCUAAGCCGUGACCUCUCAACUCUAACAGCUGGUUCCUAAGCCGUGACCUCUCAACUCUAACAGCUGCUUCCUAAGCCGUGACCUCUCAACUCUAACAGCUGGUUCCUAAGCCGUGACCUCUCAACUCUAACAGCUGCUUCCUAAGCCGUGACCUCUCAACUCUAACAGCUGCUUCCUAAGCCGUGACCUCUCAACUCUAACAGCUGGUUCCUAAGCCGUGACCUCUCAACUCUAACAGCUGCUUCCUAAGCCGUGACCUCUCAACUCUAACAGCUGCUUCCUAAGCCGUGACCUCUCAACUCUAACAGCUGCUUCCUAAGCCGUUCAUACUAUAGCAUAUAUAGUAAGUGUCCAUUAUGAGUUAGCUGAAUGCCCUGCCGGCCGAGAGGAAUCCAUUUUCAUCACAUCUCUUCUCUAUAAGGAGAGAUGGGGGGGUUCUCUAAUGCUGAGGAUGCGUCAUAAAUAGCACCCUAUUCUCUAUAUAGUGCACAACUUUUGGCCAGAGCUCUAUGGGCCCUUGUCAAACGUAGUGCACUAUAAAGGGAAUUAGGGUGCCAUUUGGGACGGAGCCACAGAUGAACAGCAACUCCCCAGAUCCCACAGCAAACACACAGCCUGCUCUAUGUACAAACACACAGCCUGCUCUAUGUACAAACACACAGCCUGCUCUAUGUACAAACACACAGCCUGCUCUAUGUACAAACACACAGCCUGCUCUAUGUACAAACACACAGCCUGCUCUAUGUACAAACAUCACCGUUAGAGAUAAACACACAGCCUGCUCUAUGUACAAACACACAGCCUGCUCUAUGUACAAACACACAGCCUGCUCUAUGUACAAACACACAGCCUGCUCUAUGUACAAACAUCACCGUUAGAGAUAAACACACAGCCUGCUCUAUGUACAAACACACAGCCUGCUCUAUGUACAAACAUCACCGUUAGAGAUAAACACACAGCCUGCUCUAUGUACAAACACACAGCCUGCUCUAUGUACAAACACACAGCCUGCUCUAUGUACAAACAUCACCGUUAGAGAUAAACACACAGCCUGCUCUAUGUACAAACACACAGCCUGCUCUAUGUACAAACACACAGCCUGCUCUAUGUACAAACAUCACCGUUAGAGAUAAACACACAGCCUGCUCUAUGUACAAACAUGCAGCCUGCUCUAUGUACAAACAACACCGUUAGAGAUAAACACACAUCACGGUCCUCCUAACUAUCUAAUUAUGUGUGUUGUUGAAACAGGAUGUGCUGUAUAUACAGUUGAAGUCGGAAGUUUACAUACAUACAUAGCCAAAAUAACAUUUCAACUCAGUUUUACACAAUUCCUGACAUUUAAAUCCUAGUAAGAAUUCCCUGUCUUAGGUCAGUUGGGAUCACCACUUUAUUUUAAGAAUGUGAAAUGUCAGAAUAACAGUAGAGAGAAUAAUUUAUUUCAGCUUGUAUUUAUUUCAUCACAUUCCCAGUGGGUCAGAAGUUUACAUAUACUCAAUUAGUAUUUGGUAGCAUUGCCUUUAAAUGGUUUAACUUGGUUCAAAUGUUUGAAAUGUCUAGAGCCAUGACAUCAUUUUCUGGAAUUUUCCAAGCUGUUUAAAGGCACAGUCAACUUAGUGUAUGUAAACUUCUGACCCACUGGAAUUGUGAUACAGUGAGUUAUAAGUGAAAUAAUCUGUCUGUCAACAAUUGUUGGGAAAAGUACUUGUGUCAAGCACAAAGUAGAUUGCCUAACCGACUUGCCAAAACUACAGUUUGUUUUAACAAGAAAUGUGUGAAGUGGUUGAAAAACGAGUUUUAAUGACUCCAACCUAAGUGUAUGUAAACUUCCCACUUCAACUGUAUUCAAACCUUUUGAAGUUAUAAUAUUGCAUUAAUUUGGACUGCCAAUGAGUUGUCAUGGUGAUUCUGAGGCCUUAACUAAAGGAGAUUGAAGUUCUAUAGCCAUCUGUCCAAUACCUCGCUCAGUCAUAAUACAAUGAUAUACUUCUUCAAGCCAAGUAGAAUAAUACCUUAUCUUAUUCAUAAUACAAUGAUAUACUUCUUCAAGCCAAGUAGAAUAAUACCUUAUCUUAUUCAUAAUACAAUGAUAUACUUCUUCAAGCCAAGUAGAAUAAUACCUUAUCUUAUUCAUAAUACAAUGAUUUACUUCUUUAAGCCAAGUACGAUGCUUUUCUGACUUGACGCACAUCCCAGUUCACCUGUAUUCAUUUAGAGAGUAUACCAGUAAUUCACAUUACAGUUCACCUAUAUUCAUUUAGAGAGUAUACCAGUAAUUCACAUCCCAGUUCACUCUAUUAAUUUAGAGAGUUUACCAGUAAUUCAGUUCCAUACACAAAGGUUAACAGAUACUCUUUCAGCGAUCGGUAUAAACAUCUCUGUCAUUUCCCUUAAAAUAAACUGGUUCAUCCGUUGGCUGGAGGCCACGGUGGGAAUCAAAUCAACGGGUACAAACCUGGAGAAGAGCUGUUAGAUCUAUUACCCCUAGGUGUGUGUGCUGUUUUUUGGGGGGGGGGUUUACCAAUAAGUAAAUAAGUAUUUUCUGAACUGCAGUGGUUUAAAGUACUUAAGUAAAAAAUUAAAUAAAAUUUUUUGGGGGUAUCUGUACUUUACUAUUUAUAUUUUUGACAACUUUUAUUUUUACCUCACUUACAUUCCAAAUGAAAAUAAUGUACAUUUUAUUCUCAUAUAUUUCCCCCUGACACCCAAAAGUACUCGUUACAUUUAGCAUUCUCAAGCAGGACAGCAGUAUGGUCCCAUUCACACACUUAUCAAGAGCAGGUGUUGUCAUCCCCACUGCCUCUGAAGGCUCUACGGUCAUCACCAGGGCCUAACCAAGGUAGAGAGGGGGUCUGAACCCAUGCUGAAGGCUCUACGGUCAUCACCAAGCCCUAACCAAGGUAGAGAGGGGGUCUGAACUCAUGCUGAAGGCUCUACGGUCAUCACCAGGGCCUAACCAAGGUAGAGAGGGGGUCUGAACCCAUGCUGAAGGCUCUACGGUCAUCACCAAGCCCUAACCAAGGUAGAGAGGGGGUCUGAACCCAUGCUGAAGGCUCUACGGUCAUCACCAAGCCCUAACCAAGGUAGAGAGGGGGUCUGAACCCAUGCUGAAGGCUCUACGGUCAUCACCAGGCCCUAACCAAGGUAGAGAGGGGGUCUGAACUCAUGCUGAAGGCUCUACGGUCAUCACCAGGCCCUAACCAAGGUAGAGAGGGGGUCUGAACUCAUGCUGAAGGCUCUACGGUCAUCACCAGGCUCUAACCAAGGUAGAGAGGGGGUCUGAACCCAUGCUGAAGGCUCUACGGUCAUCACCAGGCCCUAACCAAGGUAGAGAGGGGGUCUGAACUCAUGCUGAAGGCUCUACGGUCAUCACCAGGCCCUAACCAAGGUAGAGAGGGGGUCUGAACUCAUGCUGAAGGCUCUACGGUCAUCACCAGGCUCUAACCAAGGUAGAGAGGGGUUCUGAACUCAUGCUGAAGGCUCUACGGUCAUCACCAGGCUCUAACCAAGGUAGAGAGGGGGUCUGAACUCAUGCUGAAGGCUCUACGGUCACCACAACACCAAUACUAGUGUUUUAAUCCACAAUGGGGAGUUGUCACACAUUGUUUAAAUACAUUGUUUUUACAUUAACACCAUAUCAAGGAACUACCAGAUGGCUCGAUCAGGUUGAUUGAUAUACCGGUAGCUUCAUCGUGCCCCCCUCCCUUUGUUUAUUAAAGCUUUGCCAUUUAAACAAUUAUUGAUAUAAACGAGAACAUGAGGUGAAAGGAACGGCUUGAGGGGACAGGAAGAAGUGUUUGUCGUGUUUGUUGUGUCCACUCUUCCAUUUUAUUUGUGUUGUCAACAACACUCACUUUCUUCUUUUUCGUUUUGUUGUUGCCAAGUGCCUUUGGCUACAAUCCAUGCCUGUAGCACAGUGUUGCCUGUAGCACAGUGUUGCCUGUAGCACAGUGUUGCCUGUAGCACAGUGUUGCCUGUAGCACAGUGUUGCUUGUAAUGUGUCACUGUUGUCUGUUUCAACUCUCCAUCAAAGUAACAAUAACGCUCAUUAGUGUGGUGAAUGUGUGCCAAAUGGCACCCUAUUCCCUAUGUUGUGCACUACUUUUGGACUAGAUCUCUAAGGGUCCUGGUCAGAAGUAGUGGACAGAGGGCAUAGGAUGCCAUUUGAGACGUAGAACCUCUUGUGUCAUCACCGGUAGUGUCGUACAUGUCCACACCUGUUAUUAUAACCACUCUGAAAUAUCAUGAGUGAUACAGACAGAGGAGGCUGGUGAUGGGAGGACGGCUCGUAGUGAAACGGAAACCGCGUGUUGGAUGUGUUUGAUACCCGAUCCAUUUCAUCCCGGUUCCAGACGUUACUAUGGGCCCAUCCUCUGAUUUAUAGUGACACCAGCCACCCCUGGAUACGAGAUCAACACAGAACCUUUGAAUAGCCAAUGAUAAGAUGACAUAGUCAUUGAUAUAAUGUAAUCCAAUGAACAUGAUGCGAUCCUCUGCUGCUAGUUAAUUACACCCUAAUUUUUUGGCUGUACACGCUGUACGCCACAUCUUAUUGGCUGUACACGCUGUACGCCACAUCUUAUUGGCUGUACACAUUGGACCUUUGGCAGGAACAUGUUGUCAUGUUAAUUUGCCUUCCUUCAAUAAAAGCUUUGCCACAGCC